CCUACGGGCGGCAGCAGUGGGGAAUAUUGGACAAUGGACCGAGAGUCUGAUCCAGCAAUUCUGUGUGCACGAUGAAGUUUUUCGGAAUGUAAAGUGCUUUCAGUUGGGAAGAAAGAAAUGACGGUACCAACAGAAGAAGUGACGGCUAAAUACGUGCCAGCAGCCGCGGUAAUACGUAUGUCACGAGCGUUAUCCGGAUUUAUUGGGCGUAAAGCGCGUCUAGGUGGUUAUGUAAGUCUGAUGUGAAAAUGCAGGGCUCAACUCUGUAUUGCGUUGGAAACUGUAUAACUAGAGUACUGGAGAGGUAAGCGGAACUACAAGUGUAGAGGUGAAAUUCGUAGAUAUUUGUAGGAAUGCCGAUGGGGAAGCCAGCUUACUGGACAGAUACUGACGCUAAAGCGCGAAAGCGUGGGUAGCAAACAGGAUUAGAUACCCCAGUAGUC
rnacentral:rRNA from 1 species